rnacentral:rRNA from 1 species
GAGAGGACCGGAGUGAACGAACCUCUGGUGUUCGGGUUGUCACGCCAGUGGCACUGCCCGGUAGCUAAGUUCGGAAUCGAUAACCGCUGAAAGCAUCUAAGCGGGAAGCGAGCCCUGAGAUGAGUCAUCCCUGACCCCUUGAGGGUCCUAAAGGGCCGUUGGAGACCACAACGUUGAUAGGUGGGGUGUGUAAGCGCAGUGAUGUGUUGAGCUAACCCAUACUAAUUACCCGUGAGGCUUAACCAUACAACACCCAAGAAGUGUUCUG